rnacentral:hammerhead_ribozyme from 1 species
GCACUGCUGAAGAGUCCCAAACAGGACGAAACCUCAGUCAAAUGC